AGCCUCAGAAUUAUAAUUCUUUUAUAGGCCAAACCAUCCAAGUAGAUUUCCGGACGACGUCGUUUGCAGGGACAGUCCUUCCAAGAUUCAGAAACCAUGAGAUCGUUAUCCAUCACUCCUCAAAUCACUGUGAAGAGUUUCUCGUCCGGCGACACUAGAAGACGAACAUACACAAUCAGCACAUCUCAGAAAUCUGCCAUUCCUAUCGGACGGCACUUGAGAUUCGGAAAUUCCACCUCGCGAUUCCGCAUGAGUGUCGAUAAUGGAGGCUCGAGUCGGAGCCGAGAUCGGAUUGGUGCUGGAGAUGCAGUCAUUAUCGUCGACCAUGGCUCCCGGCGGCAGGAAUCUAACCUCAUGCUGAAUGAGUUCGUUGCUAUGUUUAGGGAUAACACUGGUUACCCUAUUGUGGAGCCUGCUCACAUGGAGCUGGCUAAACCUUCGAUAAGAGAUGCAUUCAAAUCGUGCGUUGAACAAGGGGCCAAUCGCAUCAUCAUAAGCCCGUUCUUCCUCUUCCCCGGUCGACAUUGGCAACAGGAUAUUCCUUCCUUAACAGCUGAGGCAGCAAAGGACCACCCAGGAAUAUCAUACAUAGUAACUGCUCCUCUUGGUCUUCAUGAAAAGCUUGUGGAUGUUGUGAAUGAUAGAAUGAAUCACUGCUUGAGUCAUGCUGCUGGAGUUGCAGAUGAAUGUGAAGUUUGUGCUGGAACAGGCAAAUGCAGAUUUAAUUAAUGAGUCUAUGAAAGUAGGGACUUGGGAUGAAACGACGUAGUUUCGUUUCGAGUGAACGUGUUCGGUGGUGAGGAUUGGAUGGCUGCUGGGUGAAGGCUUUGGCCGCCAUGAAGACAUUGGCCGGAAUUUCCCAGCCGCCUCCAAACACGCCAUAUUCUUCCUUGGGCAGUGGCUGCAUCAGAUACUCCAACACAGCCAGUUCCUCCUUUUCUACCCAAUAUAUGCAAUUUACGGGACAUGAUUCCACUGAAACCUGUAAGAAUGAAGCGAAGCUGUUUAGUGUUCUUUUUCUACUCGUAAUUUACAUUUUCCCCCGUUUUACCUGAA